UUCCCAUGUGGGUUGCAGUAUUUUACAGCUAGAAAGAACUUCAGUCUUCAUGCAGCAGGGAAGAAAAAUGAGGCCUGCAGAGGCUGCAGUCCAAUCCUUUUGUGCUAAUGAGCUGGGUGACCUCGAGGGAGCCAUGGAGUUGCACUAGACAUGCAGCUUUAUGAUGUCUCAAGACUGUUGGCUGCAUAGUUUCCAUGAGGUCAAAAAACAGUGCUGCCCUGGGAAAGCUGGAGAGGGAGAAAUUGCAGCUCUCACACCUCUUAUUUCCUGCCCCACCUCCAAAUCAGAGGAUAAAUUUACCACAGGUCCCAAGAAGCCAAGAACCAAAGAACACAUAGAAUUUGAACGGCCCUUCAGCUCUGAAAGGAACAUCAGCCAACUUUUAAGUUCUCAUUCAAGGCAAGACUGUCACUGA
rnacentral:lncRNA from 1 species